UCUUGGUCCAAGCAAUUUCCCAACAAAAUUGAACUUUGGAUAUUGUUUGACAGGGAUCAGAACUCUCUCUGACAACUUUAUGUUCUUGUUGCUGAUAACAUCAAGGUAUUUCUUUUCUUCAUCUUCCUUCUUGCCUUCAGAACCCUGAAAUUUUUCAAUUUCGUCGGCCAGGAGGCGCAUGGCGUGCACAAAGGAGGGAUCCAGGCUGUCCUUCUCGGCCAUCAGCUCGGGCAGGUACUUCUCCUGCUCCAUCGCCUCGGGGCCGCGCCGCCUGGGCACGCCGGGGCGGGCUGCGCGGCCGCCGGCUGGCUCCGCGCCUCCGGCUGCCUCUUCAGCGCCCGCCCCGCCCGGCGUCCCACGGCUCGCAGCUGCCUCCCGGCUCGGCCUCCCCUGCCCGGGGGGCGCUCCCCGCCCCGGCACCGCCUCCGCCGUCCCCCGGCCGCGCAGGGGGGCGGGGGCUGGGGCGUGCGCGGCUCGCUCCGCGCCUGGCACUGCCGUACGUCCCG
rnacentral:lncRNA from 1 species